GACGGACGUGACGAGGACAUAAAAAGCGUCAAAACUCCAAAUUCAAGAAAGAACCACUGCCUUUUGAUCACAGGAACUGAUCCCAGUCAGUUAAUGACGACUCUGAUUGGUAACCACGCUUCCGAAAGCCAGCCAAUCAACAACAGCCACGCCCGAGUACCAGCUUUCCAUGGCAGCAGAUGGCCAUGUGAACACAAACACAGACAGAGAACACCAUGUGAAGAUGGAGGCAGAGAUUGGAGUGAUGUACCUACAAGUUAAGGAAAGCCCAGGAUUGCUGACCAUCAGUUCCUGAAUGUCACAGAAGCUAGGAGAGAGGGAUUCUCUCUCAGAGCCCUCAGGAGGAACCAACCCUGCUGACACCUUGAUUUUGGACUUAUAACCUUCAGAACUGUGAGAAUAAAUUUCCAUUGCUUUAA